rnacentral:rRNA from 1 species
CAUGUGGUGUUAAACCUGAACCUGGGGAUGCUUGUCUACUCGAAGUCCAACUCCGAAUAUGGCUUGGAUUUGUUCUAGAGAGGGUGAAAGCCCCGUACGGGUAGACUUUUCGUCUUUUUAGCAUGCCUUAGAUGUUCAUGUUUUGGAGUCGGAUUGCUUGAGAAUGCAGUCCAAAGUGGGUGGUAAACUCCAUCCAAGGCUAAAUACCUGCACGAAUCCGAUAGUAGACAAGUACCGCGAGGGAAAGUUGAAAAGUACUCUGAAGAGAGAGUAAAUAGUACGUGAAGCCGUUUGCAUGGAAGCUGGUGGAGUCAAGCUUCUCGUUUCAAGAAUUGACAUGGAGGAUUUUGUUUGUGGACAGACCUUUCAUUGACAUGAAAACGACCAGAUGGUUCGCCGUCUCAUCUAUUCUUGGCAGUGUAUUUGUUGUGAUUUUCUCUUGUCCAUUCUCUUGUGUUAUUUCUUUUUACGAGUAUCACUGUGAAUGUGUAUCAUUAUGCGGCGUAAUU